rnacentral:rRNA from 1 species
GACGAACGCUGGCGGCGUGCCUAAUACAUGCAAGUAGAACGCUGAAGGAGGAGCUUGCUUCUCUGGAUGAGUUGCGAACGGGUGAGUAACGCGUAGGUAACCUGCCUGGUAGCGGGGGAUAACUAUUGGAAACGAUAGCUAAUACCGCAUAAUAUUGACUAUUGCAUGAUAGUCAGUUGAAAGGUGCAACUGCACCACUACCAGAUGGACCUGCGUUGUAUUAGCUAGUUGGUGGGGUAACGGCUCACCAAGGCGACGAUACAUAGCCGACCUGAGAGGGGGAGCGGCCACACUGGGACUGAGACACGGCCCAGACUCCUACGGGAGGCAGCAGUAGGGAAUCUUCGGCAAUAGACGGAAGUCUGACCGAGCAACGCCGCGUGAGUGAAGAAGGUUUUCGGAUCGUAAAGCUCUGUUGUAAGAGAAGAACGAGUGUGAGAGUGGAAAGCUCACACUGUGACGGUAUCUUACCAGAAAGGGACGGCUAACUACGUG